rnacentral:rRNA from 1 species
GCCUACCAUGGUGGUAACGGGUAACGGGGUGUUAGGGCACGACACCGGAGAGGGAGCCUGAGAAACGGCUACCACAUCCAAGGAUGGCAGCAGGCGCGCAAAUUACCCAAUCCCGACACGGGGAGGUAGUGACAAUAAAUAACAAUACGGGGUUCUUUCGGAUUUCGUAAUUGGAAUGAGUACAAUUUAAAUCUCUUAACGAGGAACAAUUGGAGGGCAAGUCUGGUGCCAGCAGCCGCGGUAAUUCCAGCUCCAAUAGCGUAUAUUAAAGUUGCUGCAGUUAAAAAGCUCGUAGUUGAAUUUCGGGACCAUCAUGUCGGUCGUGCCUCGGUACGUACUGGCAUCGUCGGUUUCUCCCUUCUGACGAACCAUGAUGUCAUUUAUUUGGUGUUGUGGGGAAUCAGGACUGUUACUUUGAAAAAAUUAGAGUGUUUAAAGCAGGCUCACGCUUGAAUACAUUAGCAUGGAAUAAUGAAAUAGGACGUUUGAUUCUAUUUUGUUGGUUUCUAGGAUCGACGUAAUGAUUAAUAGGGAUAGUUGGGGGCAUUAGUAUUCAAUUGUCAGAGGUGAAAUUCUUGGAUUUAUUGAAGACUAACUACUGCGAAAGCAUUUGCCAAGGAUGUUUUCAUUAAUCAAGAACGAAAGUUAGGGGAUCGAAGACGAUCAGAUACCGUCGUA